GCGCCCUUAGCUCAGUGGUAGAGCGUUCCGUUCACAUCGGAGAGGCCGCAGGUUCGAUCCCUGCAGGGCGCA
rnacentral:tRNA from 1 species